UAAGAUAUGCAUUAAUGGUGGAACUUCCCAGCAAAAUAUUCCAAUACAAUGUAAAUCAUUACCUACUAAAAACUCAGUUCCACAGAAGGAGAUGAGCCAUAUUGGGAACCUGUAAGAAUACAUGCUUACAUCAUCUUCAAUGCAUGAAAGCAGUAUCUAUAUGAGAAAUUAUUGAAUGAGAUAGCAGAUUCUGAAACAUAUUACAAGAGAAUUGCUUGUCCAGUAUCCCUCAGAAAAUUGAUGGCUGGCCUCUCUCUAAAACUUUUCCACUCACUCUCUGCUAGAAACUUAUGCUCUGAAGCAUUACAACUCUAAAAACCUUUUCAUGGAAUUCACUAGAAACUUAAAUUCAUUGCUCAGAAAUGAGUGGAAAACCACUUAGCCUGUAAGUAUAAGGCAAGAGAGACCUGUAUUUGCUCUUGUUGGGCCCUAAAGCAAUCUUACCUCAGGUACUCCAGUAACUACAACUGCAUGAGAAUGAGAAUUGUGAUAUGUUCACAAAAAUAAAUCUUUGCAACUUUUCCAAGGUGGAAGACAGAGACCAUCCCACGUUCCUUUUAAAUUUGAAUCCAGAUUCUUGCCUCUGUUUAAUCCAGAGCCUAUGCUGCUGUGCCCAGUCCAUCCAUUUAUUUAUUUAUUACAUUUACAUAGCACCUUUCCUCCAGAGCAACGUCUUUGUCAGAGCUGGCUCCUGGGGGAACAAUUGAUCACAGGGAUGUUGUGGAGCCUGCAGAGUAAGCAGAAUAUCAAACACUCUCUUAUAUUAGAAACAGGGAUGACUUCCCAGGAUUUUUACUGUGCAGAUGCUUAUUUCGCUUCAUUUUUAAAGGAUGGUUACUAUAGGAAAUUUCUAAAAUCUUGGAAGGGGUAAAAUUUCUCUGUUUUAUUCUAUUUAUAGCCCUAAAAAAUAAUGCCUAUCCUACCAUUUUGUCACAGUCUGAUAACGAAUUAAAGUAGGUAAAUUUUCUUAUUUGCCAGUUUAAAUAAGGUAGGAGAAAAGUAGAAAUGUCUCUUGUUCAUUGGAAUUGGGCUUUGGCAGAUUCAUAGACAUUUUGAUUUAUAGAUAUAUCUUCAAUCUUUUCUGAGCUGUGUCAUACCUUUUUAUCUCAGUACACUUAAAAAAAAAACAGGCAACGGUUAAAACAUUGAAAACACAUUGCAGGUUAUAUUUGUGUUGGGAGUGCAUUGUCCUUGACCCAUAUGAUAACAGUUAGGAUGUACUAACAUAGAGCUGCUGAUAGUCAUGUUUCUGUACUCUAGCCAUAACAACACAUUACCAUGUUUCUUCACAGUGGAUAAACAUGGAAGUGCUUUAAAACAAUGCCAUAAGAGGUUGACGGAACAGGUGAAGACAUAUUAUUGCCAAAAGAGCAUUAAGGUAAGGUCGGGAAAAUUGACUUUCAGCCUAAGAUUCAUCAUUACUUGCUGUGUGACUUUGGAUAAUUCAUUUGCUAUUGAUAAUUCAUUUGCUAUCUCUGACCCUUAGUUUCCUCAUCUAUACACUAAAGUGGAAAUCCUAGACAAUCUCAGGUCAUUUCCUCAAUGAGUCUUCUUGGAAACUUGAAUCAGGUUCUCAGAAGUCCUUGGUAAAGAUAAAGUAGGUGGUAGAAUCAAACCUUGUGACCAUAUUUGUUGCCUAUAUUUGUUGUAUAUUUACUACAUGCCAGGUGUCAUGCUAGGUAACACAAAUGUAAAAAAGAGGCUUCUCAGUGAGAGAGAGCUUAUAUUCCAGGGAGACGGAAAUUAAAUGAAAAGGUGCUUAUAUACUUACAACUGAGAUUUAAAAAAAACUGUGCAACAAAAAAUACAGAAUGUUAUUGAGAGGUUAUAAUACAAUUUAGUUAUCUAGCUUUGUUGGAUUUUGUUAAAAAUUCUCUGCGAUAUUUCCAAGGAGCAUAUUUUUUUUCACGCAUGUGUUUUAGGGAGAGUCAUACCGCAGGGCUACAAUUGAUGAAGCAUCUUUCAGAGCAUUUUUUAUAUCCUGAAACAGUAAAAGCAAGCAGUUAACUAUAUUAUAAGAGCCACCCGAAAUUAUGCUGAGUCUCUUUACAGCAAAACAUGGAACAUCAAUAUGGUUUUCUAGCUUAUUUCAGUGACUUUAAUUCUGGACUAUCUUUUUAAAGAUAUUGGUACAGUGAAAACUCUUGGAAGAUAGAGAUAGUGUUUCCUAUCAGAACAAAUGGUAAAAUUGCUCAUAGUCUCAGAAGACAGGCUUGCUUUGCUGUGCAGUAUAAUAAAGAUAAUGAUUCCUCACUCCCUGGAGAAAGGGGAGGCAUAUUUAUCACCCAUUUUGAAAGAUUUGGUUAUUCUAGGAUCACAUUCCUCUCCUGGGACACAAUCCACUAUGUUAAUUGUGCUAAUUCAAACAUGUAAGUAAUAUUUAGCCCUCUUCCUGUCAUGCUAUAGGGAUUGGAGCUUUGGGAGCAAUGCAAAAAUUACUGGUACUCUGGCUGCUGAUAUCACUGCAAAUAAUAAGCUGUCCUUUGUCUUAUGAUUUAUAACAGCAUCCAUGAAUUUGUGGCAGGAUAAUUUGGUAGUUUUCAAUAAUGUAGGACUUUUAAUAAUAGCUAAUGGAGAGAAAGGAACAAGGUUUUUGUUUGUUCUAUUUUCUUUAGGAUGGAAAAACACGAAAGCACAUCCACAGCUACUAGUUGAAUCUGGCUUGAAACAAACAACUGUGACUUGGAAGAGCUUAUUACUGUUGUUUUUAAAAGAAUCUUUCUGCAUAAAGGAUUGUUUAUUUUAGUGGUAAUAAUAAUAUGUAUGCUCUUUAUUGAGUAUGUAUUACUUUCCUAAUACACAGAUCACUUCUUUUAAGGGCUGCACCUGAAGCAUAUGGAAGUUUCCAGGCUAGGGGUUGAAUCGGAGCUGCAGCUGCCAGCCUAUGCCACUGGCAUAGCAAUGCCAGAUGUGAGCCGCAUCUGCCACCUAUACCACAGCUCAUAGCAAUGCCAGAUCCUUAAUCCACUGAGCAAGGCCAAGGAUCAAACCCACAUCCUCAUGGAUACUAGUUGGGUUCACUACCACUGAGCCACAGUGGAAACUCCCAUCAAUUCAUU
rnacentral:lncRNA from 1 species